rnacentral:lncRNA from 1 species
ACAAAGAAACGGUGCUCCGUGGAAAUGUGUGAAAGCGACACCCGCACGGCCGGCAUCUCGCUGCACCGGUUUCCCUCGACUCUCGAAGGCGCGAAGCCUGGGUUCGGUUCUGCAACAACUGAAGUCUACAGGGGAAGACUCCAUGGCAGCUACGAGGCAGGGUAGUUUGCUCCUUACAUUUCGAGGCGUCAGCUUUCCUGGGCCCUGGACACCUCCGUCGCAAUGCGUUGCCAAGUUUGCUUCCCACAAAAAAGACAACACAUGGCGACAUUUCCAGGCAAAGCUCUCC